CUUUAGUACAAAUCUGCGCCUGCUGGUGCCGUUACAUUCGUGGGCUUACGAGUACAUCUCGGAUUGGCUAGAGUCGAUUCUAACAUGAAAGAGAUACAUAUACAAGAAUUUUUGACCCAAAUUUUGUUUUUUAAUUAAUUUUUUGCUUUUUUUGGGUUUGUUAGUUUUCUUCAUUCUUUACAACGCCCUUUGUACUAUGAGAGUUCGAUUCGAGUUAUUCUUCUUACGCUUCAUUGCCCCAGCAGAGCCCUUUAACACAUAUGUAACAUGAAUAAACACUCGGGAGAAGAGUGUCUCUCUUGUUGGAUUUUACUGCUGGGAUAAAACCUCAAAUUUCUUUUUGAUUUUUCGGUGAAUGUGCUGCGGAAUUAUGUAGUCGCGCACUAUUCUGAAUCAUUGGAAGAACCGAACACAUACAUCUCAACAACUUUAUUUCCGUGGGAGAUUAACUUUUGCAUAUAUUAUUUGUAAUUGUCCAAAAUUCUGAAUCAAGAAGCAUGGCUAGUGAUCCAAUUGUCUUGUAAAUAUUUUGAUUUCUUCUUUUUUUUUUCUUUGGAAAUUUGUUAGUAUCAUAGAAAAGAGUGACUUGCAGUCAGAAUUCCACAACUCUUUGCUAAAUUUCAAUUUAGUUCUUGGCCUUUAAAUUCAUACAGAAUUCUUUCAGAACUAGGGCUUAAUUGUAGUGACUUCCGUGAGUCCUUUACUAUAAAAGCCCGUUAAGGGACAAAAGAAGUUGAAAGAAAUCUAGAAUAAUAAUAAUUUUAUAUUGGAUAGAAAUGUGAAACUCUGAUGGUGUAUGAUAUGCGCUUCUUCACCGAUUAGUUUAAGUUUUUAAAUUAAUUUGUGCCCUUUUAUAUAAUUUCAUUUCAUAAUUUGACUUAUACAUGUACUUCAUAUGUAUUUCUGGUUGGUCCACCGAUCGGUUUAGAAAUAAGGUGUAGAAAUAAAGAUAGUCAAAAUUCAAUUUUAGACAUAAUUAUAAACCUAAUUUGAUAAUAGCAAUAUAUUAUUAAACUUAACUUUAAUUAUAACAAAUUUUUUUUAAAAAAAGUUGUGUGAAUAAGCUUGAAAAUGGAGAAAAAUGUGCAAGUUUUUCGGGGUAAGGUACCUGAAACAGAAACUAAAAUUACUGUUAGACCUUUAACCAAUAUAUUAUUAUUAGUUUUAACUUAUAAUAAUAAUAAUAAUAAUAAGGAGGUGUGGGUGGUAAGUGUGGUUGAAUGAUUUUUAGAUGCUCUUUUCGCUUGACAACGCGCGCCGGCUGAUUUCCGAAGCCAAGGCGGAUUCGAAGCCAUCGCUGCGUCUUCCUUCUCCUCCUCCUUCCUACCACCCGAAACCCUAACCCUAAUUACUCCCCCAACUCUCCCCUCCGCUUCUCCUCGGGCUUCUAGGGUUUCCUCCAUCUCCGAUCUGGGGCUCCUCUUGUCCUCUUCCUCCUCCUCGGAGCCCUGAUGCUCCUUUACCCCCGCCGCCUCUCCGCUCGGAUCGUCGAUGGCGCUCGUUCCUGCGGCGGCGGCGGCGGCGGAGGCGGGUGCUCUGGUCGAAUCGGACCUCGGGGGCGUCUCUGCGGAGUCGCUCGCCGGGAUCCUCCACGCGCAGAGGGAGCUAUUCCACAGCCAGGUCGAGGAGCUCCAGCGGCUCGUCGUCGCCCAAUGCAAGCUCACGGGCGUCAAUCCCCUCGCGCAAGAGAUGGUUCGUCUCCCUGUUCCUUUUCGGACCGAUUAGGGUUUCUCUUCUCGAUUCGCACCCUUUCUUGGAUAUGUUUGUAUCUGUUGGAUAAUUCUUCGUAAUUUAUGUCACAUGUCUACAAACGUUGGUAGGUUUGGCUUUGAUGUUGCAUGGGAAAGAAGCAAGUUUGGAUUCGUAUUCGAUUAUCUAAGCAUAAAGAACAUCUAGCGCUGGGCAAUUUUUCAAUUCCAAUUCCAAAUCAUCUACUAGUUUUUAAUUGAUGUUUGAAAGCGAGUUAUUUGUAGUGAGAGGUUUACGGUUUGCCCAUGGAUUGUUUUCAUCAUCUUUAGAAGAAUGACCAAAGAAGGGCUUGUUUUAUUCAUCAUAAUUCUCCUGUUUGCCUGUCCCUUGCCUGCUUGGUAUUAUAUAUUAAGAUCCUGGGUUAGACGAAGAGCAGGAGAUAUAUAAAUGCAUCUUGUUAGCUAGUCACUAAGUCUGGUUCAUUUUUUUUUUUCUUUUUUCAGCAAAUCAUUUAUGAAAGGCAAUCCCCGUUGUGCAUUCUUCCGGUUAUUGCUACAAUCGAUGCAUACUAAUGCAUUUGAGCUUUUGUCACAAUCCAUCUAAUUUUUCUCAUUUUGUCUCACUAAAAUGCUUUGCAAUCAAUUUCUCGUACUUUUAAUAAAGCCAUUGAUUAUGCUUUUGUUUCAUGCAGGCUGCUGGCGCAUUGUACAUUAAAAUUGGUGAGUAGUCAGUUGUCUCUAUGAGUCCAGUAAAGUUGGCAGUUGGAUGAGUUCUUUUGUUUCUUUACAUGCAUUUUUCAAUUUGUCAAAUCAAGUGCAAUGUACUGGCUUAAAUUCAGCAUCUUUUGUUGCUCAAAUACCUUUAUCCUCAUUCAUUUUACUUGAGAACUUAACCAGAUUAGAUUUAUGUUGUUUGGCAUAACGGGGUUAAGUUAUUGUGGGUUAAUGGGCUGGGAAAUUUACUUAAAAAAGUGUCUUGCAAAGCAUUUAUAGAUGAAAAUUCCAUAUGCAUAUCUAGAAUACAUUUUAAUCCAAAAUGAUUUUGAGUAUAAAAAAGACAAAUUUGUCGAAGAAAUGUGUGGCAAACUGAAGUUGAAGAUCAGCUUACUUCUAACAAAUUAUUUUUCACCUUAGACUGUUUUCUGCUCAAUUUUUGUCAAAUAUCAAUUAAAGUCUGUGAAAUACAUUUUUCUGUUUAUAUCCUGCUAGCUGUUCGAAAUUUUUUUACUAGUAGAUUGAAUAAACAUAUUUUCUCACCGGAGGCAGCUUUUUAUUUAUUGUAGGAUUGUCAGAGAGCAACCUUUGUUCUUUGUUCUUUUUCCUUUUCUUUUUUCGAAGUUCUGAACUACUUGGCAGAAUCUAACUCAUGACACUAUAGUACUAUUUAUAAGAGAAAUGUGCCGGUUGACAAGUAGAUCUUUUUAAUAUUAUCAUUCAUAAAAAUAUUUUGCUAGCUAUUCCCUCUCUAGGAAUUGUUGAAGCACUGACCACAAGUUAGUUUAAUUGAAUAAUUGCAUGAUGAUGGCUAUUCGUUACUAGUUGUUUUCAUGUUGAACUAAAGGUGGGUGAGAUAUAUUUACCCCAUCUAAAUUGAGUUAGAAUCUUUCCAGGAAAGAAGCCAAGGGAUUUGCUGAACCCGAAAGCAGUAAAAUACAUGCAGUCCAUCUUCUCUAUUAAGGAUACUAUUGGCAAAAAAGAAACUCGGGAAAUUAGUGCUCUUUGUGGUGUGACAGUGACACAGGUUCUUCCUCGUUCCUUAUCUUUCUUUUUGUUUUUCAAGCAUUUCUCUCAAAUUACUGCAUGAAAAGUGCCGCUUGUGUUUUAAGACUGAAAAAGAGCAUGGUGAAAAGCUAAGUUAAUGUGGAACGUGAAAGCUAACUUUCUCUGAUACCUGAGCAUCACUGGUUUGACAGUGAUGACCUUAAGAGAACAGAACUCAUUAAUUGUCCUUGUUUCCUCUGAAAUGAUUGGCAUAUCUUCUUUCCUCAAGCUGUUAUUCAUUUUAACUAGGUUGUUGUCUUGCACAUCCGGAACAUAACUCCAUAAGCUUGCUUAUUUGAUAAUUGAUAUACUGGCCCUAGCAUCAGAACUUGUUCUUAUUAGAAUGUUAAGUUGUUCUUGUUUCAUUAUGGGUGAAAGACAAGACCAAGGAAGGAGCCAUUUCAAUCACUAUGUUUCGGCUUUUAAGAUUAUGUCUGCUAGAUUAGAGCUUGAUCUUUGUACCAGCCUGUACUACUGUAAAUUUGUGCUACUUUUUACGACAAUUCUAAAUUAUUCUUUCUUCGUUCCGAACUCUAUAAUCUGUUGGGAUGUUAUCCAUAUAUUUAUUGUUAAGAGACCACUUAUCUUGCUUAGUGCAUAAUUUAGUCUUUUUCGCAUAAUACACUUUUGUUUAUAAGUUGAAUACCGACUGUUUGUAAAUAUCCAACUUUCAUCUCCAUUUAGGUUAGAGAUUUCUUUACCAGUCAGCGUUCGAGAGUAAGAAAGCUUGUACACCUGUCACAUGAGAAAGCGACCAGAUUAGAGGUAUCCCACCAAUCAAGUAGUAAUGUAUGCUGCAUCAUCUCUGAUCAACCCCCUCCUAUUAGCAUAGAGCCACCUUUACAGACAGCUGAACCUCAGAAAGCUCUGGAACCAUCUGGGAUCCCCACAAACUCUGCUAUCAUUUAUGCUACUAGUAAAGAAAUCCAACAGGGCACUGAGCAUCUAGUUAAUGUUAAGGCUGUUGAGGGCAGCACGAAACAGGACACUGUUCCAGGUGAAGCUUUCCAUGGUGUUGACUCUGAAGACAAAACCUUUUUGGAUAGCGUUUUCAGUUUAAUGAGGAAGGACGAAACGUUCUCUGGUCAGGUCAAGCUGAUGGAGUGGAUUCUGCAUAUUAAUAACAUAGCGGUCCUCCAUUGGUAAUUCCUUCAGCUUUAGUUGAUAAUAUUUGGAGUUUGUGGUCUUUUACCUUCUCUUAGGCAUUUUUUGACUAAUUUUCAGGUUCGUAACAAGAGGCGGUCUCACCAUUUUAGCUACAUGGCUGAGCCAAGCAGCUGUUGAAGAACAAACUUCAGUGCUGGAUGUUAUUUUUAAGGUCGCUAUUUUUUUGCUAUUUGUGUAUAUUUGUGUUUGUAUGUUUUGGAUGUUAUUUGAACUGUUAUGUCGCUUAUAGGUUCUUUGUCACCUGCCUCUGCAUAAAGCUUUGCCUGUAGAUAUGUCAGCUAUUCUCCAAACUGUCAACAGGUUGCGGUUCUAUAGGUCAUCAGGUGUGUAGAUAUUGAUUGUAGCACAAUAUUGUUGGUUGCUCAUUUUUUUUAAGAUGGGAUAUUGAUUUUUGUGUGACAUUGAAAUACUGUCUUCUUGUUAAAAUCAAUUUCCAAUGUUUGUUGCUUUCCAAUAGGAGUAUUCUGUGACAUUUACUGCUUACUCUGCAUUUCUUCUUAUUGCUCGUUAGAGCUCUAGUAUGCAUGGCUGAAUUGGAGAGGGGGCUUGUCCUCUUUCUUUAAGAGUAAUUUUGAGUGUAAAUUAUGUUCUAAUAUAGAAAUCCAUGCUCGUAUAUUGUCGUGUGCAAGUGAUUUACUGUUUUCUCCACACUAAACUGAAAAUAAUUCAUGGUUAACCUAUGUAUACCCAUGAAUAAUGAAUUUAUUAGAAUUCACUUUAAGUGGCUUAUUGGAACUUACUUACCUGAUUUGAAGAUCAGAUAUAUCAAACAGGGCCAAAAUCCUCCUUAAAAGAUGGAGCAAGCUUUUACUUCGAAGUCAGGCUUUAAGGAAACCUCCUAUUAAUUCCCUCAAGGAAGUUCAGAAAGCUAUGAUCUGUAAACAAAGGUGUAAAUACUUUUCACAGUACUUAAACUACUGUUACAUUGUUUUCAUUUUAGGCUUGACAGUGCCUUCAAAUUUCCGUAUUUAGGAUUGGUGAAAUACUGAAGGAUGAAUUUUGGCAGAAUGACACUGAGAUUCCUGUAAGUGUUUGUAAAAGACAGUUGCUUGGUUAUCCCUUGCUAUUACAGAGCACUCAUAGUUUUUCUUUUCUCAGGAAGAUAUUCUUGCCCUAACUGAAAAUACAGAGAAUAGCAGGUGAUCAUCAUAUAGUUUUUUUGGACAAUAUCUAGAUAUUGUUCUCAACUAUUUUGCGCAGCUAAUCGUUGAAACCUUUUUUUCUCUCUACAUAAUCCAGUGUAACAGAGCCCAAAAAGGCACUUAAGCUGCUCACAGCCUCUUCUGAUGAGUCAACUAAAAAGCAUGGUCUCACUGUCUCAUCAUCAAGUAUCCUUCGGCUGAAUCUGAAGUUUCUCUAUUUGUUUUAUAAUUUUAAACCUCUGCUCAGUUUCUGGCUUAUUGAAUUAAAACUCUGUAAGGCUUCACAAGGCUUGGUCAUCAUUAUAUUAUUAAAAUAAAAUGACAAAAUAUCCUCCCUUCGCCACUUUCUUUUCUUUCUGCUGAUUUUGAUUUAGCAUGUAGGAUGGUUAUUGAUGAGUUUAGUCCUUUGAAAAUGUUCUGGCUGUUUUACUGAUUUUUCACUGAAGUUCGAUGAAAAGGUACCCUUUUGAAAUGACUAUAUGCAAGUCUCUCUAAAAUCUGGAUUAAAGUUAGAUACAGAUUAGAAAACAUUAAGCAUCAUUCAAGUAUGAAUCAAAGUCCGAAAUUGAGUAAAAAUCCUAUUGAGCAUAUCCAGUUGAAAGCUAUCAAAAAAGACUUGCCUAAGGCCCUAAACUGACUGAAAUCAACCCCAAAUUGAUGAAACUAGUCCAAACCAGUUGACUUUUGAGCUGAUAUGACCAAACCAGUUGACCUUUGAAGUGGCCAAUUGAUGUAAUAUUGCGAUUCUCUAAUAUGAUAAUGAAUAAUAAAGCAGGCUGAGAGAUCAAGUUUACAAAAAAAUAGUAUAGGAUAAAAGAGAAUUUUCUCGUGGGGAUCCUUGAGGGUCUAUCCUUUCACUUCCUCUUUUCUUUUUUUCUUCCCUACCCUUCAUACUGAUGUUCUAUGUCACAUGGAUUUUCCAUGUGAUUCUCUUACUUUUGUUACUUUCUAUCUAAUAAAAGCUUGCUACCUGGCCAAACUAAAUAAAUUUUAGAAGUUUCUCAUCUUAUAGAUUUGUUGCAUGUAACGAUACUGCCAUAUGUUGAUCCCUUUUUCUGUUUUCAUGGCCGAUUUUUACCUAUCAAACAUUAUAAUUUCCUUAACACAUAUUCAGAAACCAAAGAACGCAGAAAAGUUCUGCUUGUGGAGCACCCAGAGCGUAAAAGUGCUGGUAGAAAUGUGCAGGUUGCGAGGGCAGUAUCGACAUGCAGUAGCCGCCCAUUAUCAGCGGAUGAUAUUCAGAAGGCAAAGAUGCGGGCAAUGUACAUGCAGAAUAAGUAUGGCAAGGCUGAUGCAUCUAAGAGCGAAAAUAACCUGCAGAAGACAGAAAACCCUAAAGUAUCUCCUACUUCUCCCAGCGCACACACUAUAAUGCCUGCUUUGAGAAUUUCUCAGCUACCGCCCCUAAAAAAGUCUGUUGAGAAAACUCCUUUGGCCACCACAGCUAAUCACCCUUGCCAUAAGCCGGAAAUCCCGGUUAAGCAGAAGCCUAUCUUGACUUCUCGAGAACACUUGAUGGAGAUGUUGAAGAGGAAUCAAAUUCGUUGGAGAACCCCACCAGGUAUCUUUGCCUUUUGCCUUAUCAUCUGUUCGUUUCUAUGGUUAUUGGCUAGUUUUUUUUGUGGUAAACAUGGAGUUUGUGUUAAAGUAUGGCCAGAUCUUUCAUUUUUGUGGACAAUGGAGUUUGAUGAAAUCCAAUCUGAUGAAGAAGGAUGGCUUCUUGGACGUUUGAAAAGGCAUUUGUAUUACUUGGGCAAUUCGUUUGGGACAAUGCUAGCCUUUGUGAAUGAUAUAGUUCAAAUUAGUUUUCUUUGCUGCCCCUUAAUGACCUUAGAAAAUUCAGUAUUGGUAGGCUAACUAUCUUGAGUAAAAUGGAGUUUGUUAUUGAACAUGAAACUACGAUGAUUCUUGUGCGGUGCUACACUACUGCUACAGACAUCAAAGCUGGCUUUAAAACAAAUUUCAUCCCGUAUCUACGACACUUGACUUGGUCAUUGUGCCAUCUCAUUUUUUUUCCUACUUGAAUUUUCAAAUUCCGAACUGGUUUUAUAACUUGAAAAGAUACUCUUAAAACCUUGAAGAUGGACCGAGUAGGUGAAGGUGCCUUAAGUAGCUGAUGCAUUGACUUUAAAAUUUUCUCCUGCCAAAGGCCUCAGAUGCUCGAUACCCAAAUGGUAAAUAUAAGGAUGAAUUGUAUGAGCAGUCCCUGUACUAUCUCAAUAUUGCAACUUGGCACCUGUACUUUCAGCUUAAACACUCAAAAGUCAUUGAACUUUCCCAUGUACUAUUAUCCCUAUGAACUUUUAAUUCUGUUAGAAGUACACUGAAAUGUUGAGUUAGAUAAAGAGUCUACACGGUCCAUUAAUAUAAUAAAUUUACUUUCAUUUUUGAUGGUCAAAUGCUAAAGCACAAUGUAUGUGAAACUUUUGGUGUUUACAUGAGAACUAUAGGGACCAAGCUGCAUUAUCUUAAUAGCACAGGGGCUAUCGAUACAUUUAUAACUAUAAAUAAUGGCUAAAUAAAUGGUUUCCCAUAUUCUCCUUCAAGCUCCCAAGUUGUUUGGAGAACUAUGCAUGACAGGUAAAAUCUUUAUUGCUAUUCUCUUAGUAGACACAGGAGUGAUCAACUUUUCGCACGUGGAAAGCAUGUGUUGGAUUUGUGAUUACUGCUGGAAUAGUUGGGCAGUUUUGUUGCCAUAUGAAUGGAUGCAAAAAUUGGUUCACAUGUAUAAUGUCAACAUAUGGUUUUUAGUUUGAAGCUGUGAAUAAGGCAAAGGACAAAAGUGGUCUUCUCUCUCUCUCUCUCUCUCUCUCUCUCUCUCUCCCUUUUGGCAAUGUAAACCUAUGUAUGCCCUAUUCGUGAUGUGCAAAUGCAUCUCUUGCAUACAAGUGGAAGAGAAAAGACCUACGUCCUUGAAGGACAAAGAAUUGGCUUUGAUAUGAGAUGAUUUACCCAAAUUGAAAUAGGAAAUCUCAUUAUAUUAGCGCAAUCCUAAUAGUGCUCAUGACUUUUGUUACUGUUUUGUUUUGUUUUUGUGAGGAAUUUCAUAGGCAGCAAAACUUCCUGUAGUUGUUUCAUCUUUCUGGGCAAUAAGGUUUGUUGCCUGAUAGAUAGUUCAUUAAAUGGAUGCCAGAUUAUGCUAGAAAAAAUGGUAAAAUGUUUCAUAGCUGAAGUCUUGCUGUAGCUGUUGCAAUUGUAUGUUUUACAAUUAUGUUAGUUAAUUGGUGUAUACGUUGGUGUUAUUAAUUGAGCUGAUUUGGUUUUACUAAGGAUAGAGACAUUAAGCUGAUCACCAAUUACUCCAGAUUCAAUGAAUGUAAUCUUUCUAUAGUAAAUAUAGUUGUGUAAAUGCCACUUCCCGGGGAUAAAGUGUACGCAGUGUCUCCUGGUACUUUGCUUGGCGGCUGCUUGAGUACAUGCCCAAAAGGGUUAUUAAUUAUCCGUUUUGGACUCUAUUGGAACAUUAAUGUGAAGUGGUUUUGACUCAACGUAAGAAUCCAUGUUUUGGAGGUCCAUGUUUUGGAGUUCCAUGUUUUGGAGAUUUUUGCUGAUAAAUAAUCCAGGAUGCUUACUCAACUGUAAUAGUAGUGACCACUCAUAUUCAUGGAACAGAAAUAUUAAGCAAUCAUAACUUCCCAAGAAAAAAAAAAAAAAAGGAUUUAAAGCAGCUCCUGUUUGAUAAUUUUAUCAGCUCUGCACAUUAAACCAUCUGUGCAUGAUUGUCUCUUUAAAAUGCCUGGUAUUUGAUGCAACAUCUGGUCCUCUCAUAAAUUUUUCUUGUAAUGUUGCCACAUUAUUUUACUGCAGAGGUCAGGAUUGACCCGGCGUGGAGAGUUGGCGCUGGAGAGAACAGCAAGGAGCUCCAAGUCCAGACCCAGAGGAAUCGGCGAGAGAAGGAAAUGUGCAAUCUUAACCUGCAGGAUAUCCCGCCAAAUCCGAAAGAGCCGUGGGAUACAGAGAUGGACUUCGAUGACAGCCUCACUCUGGAGAUCCCAACUGAGCAGCCACCUGAUGCCGAUGCCAUGGAAGAAGAUCUAGUUCCGCCUCCACCUCCAUCCAAUACCCAAAUCCUAACCGAGGCCUCUCCUCCGGAUCCCACCCCCUCGGUGUCUCCGCCGGCUUCCGGUGAGGGGGCUGGUCCUCCAGGACCAGACCUUGAGCUGCUUGCUGUGCUGCUGAAAAAUCCAGAGCUGGUAUUUGCCUUAACAUCAGGGCAGGGAAAGAGCCUGCCCAGUGAGCAGACGGUGGCACUGCUCGAUUUGCUAAAGAGGAGCGGGGUUGGGUUAGCAGAAUUGGUGAAAGGAUCGGUCAAUGGCUCUGAAGAGAAGCCCAAAGAACCUCAGCCUGUGCCUGUGCCUGUACCAGCACCAGUGCCGAUCCCUCAGCUUAAGCAUGAGACUAAGCCCGAGCCAAUUCCCACUUCUCUUCCAUCACCUACUCCCCCAUCGGACCCUGCUGAGAGGGUUAGUUGCAGUUUUUUUCUGAGUAUACUUAGUUAUGCUUUGGGUGCGAAAAAAUUUCGUCUACUGAUGGAUGGGUAUCUUCAUUGGUUUUUUACUGCAGAUUAAUUGGAGGUCGGAAUUCCCAACCCCCAUGAGGACUCCGGCGUUACAACCUCAUUUACCCAUCAUUAGAGGUGGUACGGCCAUCUCCAAUACCGCUGGGCCGCCUCCUCGCACCCACUCGCCUGUUGUGGCCCCUUCCCUGGUUGAUAAUUUUAGUAAUGCUCGGACCACCAGUUUAUCGAUGCCUCAGCUGUCGGGCAGCAUUAACCCCUCACAUCAGCACCGUCCCGCGCAUGAUAUCCUUCCAAAUCGACAGCGGGAUCCUUCCCUCCAUCAGAAUCCAGCCUUUACUGGUGAUGUUUUGUCCUCUCGGCAUCAGUUGGUUAGCAAUAUCCCGACCGCCUCGGUCCGUUCUAUGUCACCCGCAUUGAACGCGACCAAAUCGAUGCCGCAGUCUGAACCUACGGCCUUCCCGCCGAGAGUCCCCUCGUGGCAGUCCACUGGUGCUACUUCUGCAUGGCGGGGCCCGCAGAGCAACUUACCGGAUGUUCCCGACCCCACCCCGCGUUUGCCGAUGAGCCAAAAUGGAUACAAUAAUUCUUAUUCAAACGGCGCUAUGCCAGCCCACCGUGUUGCUUUUCCGGGCCGGGAUGAGCCCAUGUUGGACUCAUGGAGUCCACAUGGUAGCCCCCGGUCGGAGUUUAGGGCCGGAUGGAACCCAACGGAGCAAAGAAUGAAUGAUGGCCGGAGUUAUAGGCCCGAAUCGUCUCGGCAGUGGAAUCCUGGGAAUCGGGAUCAGUACAGGUCUGGUAGCAGCAGGAGAUGGCGAGAUCGUGAUAGGAGAAGAUGAUGCUCUUUGUGUAUGGGUGUAAGAAAUUUUUUUUUUGGGAGUUUCUCCUUUUCGAGGGGGAAGAGGAACUGCAGGAUUGAUUUGUUGGAGCAAAUAGAAGCGUGAUCAGGCCGAUUAAGUCGGGUUUCAAUUGCAGGGGGCCUUGCUAAAAGAUAAAUGAAAUUAUAAAAUGAAUUAACAAAUAUUUUAAAUCACUCCAGAUCUAUGCAUACUAAAUUGACUAGUAGUGGUACUUAUCUCUAAAACUAAGUUGAUGCGUACCAUUUUCUUUUUUUCAUUUUUCCUUUUAGUUUUCGGGUGACCCGCCGCUCUGCAUUCCCCCUGCUACUUUCGCAGAAACUCGAUUUUAAUUUUUUCCGAGCAUUCGGAAGAGGUCAUGUUGUUUGAAUUUUUCCUUGUUUGUGUAAAUUCCAUAAAAAUUGGAGAACUUAUGCGAGUCUAUGGUCGUGUUUGAAACUCGAAAGAACAUAAUAUGCUUUGGAUAUUUCCAUAUUAAGAUAAUAAAUAUAGUCGAAUAUAAGAAGGUAAAAAAUGUUGGGGUCUGUACAAUUUACAAAUUACAGUGCGAGUAUGUAUAUAUACAAGGUGUUAGUACGAGAUCCUAAAACCCAAACCGGUUGGGUUUUUCAGUAAUCUUAUAUCUAUAACGCACACAUUCUAUAACUCUGAACUGAAGAGAAGGCUUUCUCCUCGGUACUGAGGUACUCAACCGUCACUGCGAGAUGUUUUGAGUGAACGGUUCAAUCCGCACCCACAAAUUCGCACCAUUUUAGAAAGCUAUGCGCUCGCGCAUCGGCUCGGCCGAAGUACAAGCGCCACUUACGGCGUGCCCUGUUGCCCAACAACUCGGCCUAUCUCGGACCGAUUAUAACCCGACCCGAUCCGCUAACACCCUUUCCCAAUAAUUAUCCCUCCAUCCAUCCUUCCAUCGAACCCACUAAUCCAUCCAUCCAUCCAUCCAAUGGCGUUGCGCGCGGCGGGAGGGGUCGUCGUCGUCGUCAUCCUCCCCCAUUCCCCCUCCCGCUCCUCCUCGUCCUCGUCCUCCUCCUUUACGGUGUUUCCACGGUGCGGGGCCCCGGGGGAGGAGUUCGCGCCCCUGGCGGCGGCGUUCCGGCGGCGGCUUCUGGCGGGGGCGGGUGCGGCGGCGCUGGUGGCGGCGGGGGCCAACUUCGGCGGCGCCACCAGCUUCCUCCUCGGCCUCUCCCCCUCCCUCGGCCGCUCCCUCCGCCUCGACGUCCUCUACCCCGUCCGCGGCUUCACCCGCUGCCUCGACCUCUCCAACGGCUUCGGUCAUCCUCUUCUCUUAUACCCCCGAUUGUUAUUUUUUAUUAUUUUUAAAAAAAUAUAAUAAUUGUCCAAGCAGAAUUCAUAUAUCCAUCGAGCUGGGUGGGAGACCAGGCGCUUGUCUACAGAGCAGCAGGCAGAGCGGAAUCGCAGAGGUCACUGGACCCCCCUCCUCUCCCCGACCGCCGAUCCCCUUCCCCUCGCGCCGUCAGCGACCCCGUCGCCGCCUUCGGCCCCCCCGGCUCCAACGGAGAGCUCAACGUCAGCGUCAUCGUCUCCCCCGUCCCCCUCCAUUUCUCGUACCCCCACCACCAAUCCACGCACUUUCAAACUCUUCUACCUUUUUUUUCGCGCGAUUUAUUUAUUAUUGGAUAUAUAGGAUCGAGGCGUUCGGCGGUCCGAAGGAAGUAGGAGAAGCGGUGCUGAGAAGGAUAGCUGCGGCGUCGCGUCGAGGGUCGGAGGUUAGAGCGACGCUGAUAGACGCUUCUGUGAGAGAAGAUCCCGAUCCCGAUCCCGAUCCCGCGAAGAAGGUGAAGUACUAUAAGCUGGAGUUUGCCGUCGAAGGGCCUUCGUUCCGCCGCCACAACGUCGCGCUCUGCUGCGCCCGCGACGGCAAGCUCUACACUCUGAACGCCCAGGCGCCCGAGUCGGCGUGGCCUGGAGUGCGGCACCAGUUCUAUGAGAUCGCUGAUUCCUUUACUCUUACUGAAACAUGAUGAUUAAUAUCAUCUGCUUCUUCUUCUUCUUCUUCUUCUUCUUCUUCUUUCGUUUUCUGCUGAAUUAAUAAUGCCCAUAAGGAAAUAAAGAGUGAUGAACGAGCUUAUUUGUAUCUGCUACUUUCUUAUCCUACUUUUUUUUAGUUGUGUUUGAUUCGAUUGCGCAUAACUACUACGAAAUUUCUGGAAAAAAGAAAGAGAAAAAAAUUCUUCUUAUUUUCAGGGAGAAAUCCUCAGACCAAAUAUGGCCUUAACAACACUUUACAAACUCAAACAUCCCAGAUGGGCUUUUCCAAGGAAAUCAGCCCAUGGGUCAUCUCCUGAAAUGGACCUAAACUCUGCAGUCUCUGGUGAGGAAUGACUCCCUGAAGCCCUACAUGUUGUUGUGGGUUGUGCUGCUCAUGUGGGCUUCUUUGGGGCCCCACUCCCAAGUAGUCCACCAUCCUCACGUCCCCACCGCGACCACCGCCACCACCGCUGCCGCUACCACUGCCACCACUACCACCUAACAAGUAUGGGAUAGGCCUCGAAAACGCACUUAAAUCAUUCAUCGGCGCGCUGUAAUGUUGGUUCAUUCCUAACUCGGCUAGGUGAUCCUGCUGUCCUUGCAACCGAAUUUCGUUGUACAGCCCAUGGGCCUUUAUCGGGCCACAUGGUCUCGUGCCGGAGAACCGGUCCGGUCCGGCCAUCAUCGACACAACGCCCCUGUGCAUCAUGGCAGAGCUAACAUUGUUACUGACCGGAGCCGCACCCAUUUGGGCUGCCUUUUGUAGUAGUGCGGUCGCCGACAUGUGGCCUGAGGACCCGGCCGCUACUUGGCCUAUAUUGGCAUCACCGAGCCCAUCGAGGCCCAAUGGGCCUAUCGUGCCUUUCAAAUGAAGGCUUGAUGGGCCGAAGCUCGAGAGCAUGCACCCGGCCAUACCGAGAGGUCGAGGAGAAGUCAGCGCAGUCUCAUCAGAAAAGGGCUUGAGCUGAGGGUCCUUCGCGUCGUCGGUGAAGUCGGCGAGCCCCACGGAGGUGGUGACGGGGGCGUUACCGGCCGACAAGAGAACGUGGGCUGGGCCUUGUAAGUUUGAGUGGGCCAUCAUGGGCUGGUUUAGUUUGUUGCUCUCCUGGCCCAGUGCAUCACAGAAGGCCCUGUGAGUGAUGAAGCUGUCUCUCCUGCAGUUGCCAAGGGAGUACCGUCAAAAUUUUGCACAAUUAAUUUGAAGACUAAACAAAUUAUUACAUAAUAAUUACUUAUGAGAAAGAAUGACAAGCAUCUUAACUCAUAAUAAACGAAUUAAUAAUUAACAAGGUUAUAGACCGCACUAAAAGAACUACCUAUAAGCAUUUCAUCGACACGACUUCAUCAAUGUUUCUCUGUUUAAUGUUACUAUAUAUUGAUUAAGUAAAUUAAAAUAGGGAUUGAUUUUGGCCUUAUUGUAUAGUGUAAUAUUGUUUGUUGAAGUAUUAUCUAUAGAUCAUCGGUCUAUUAAAUAUAAAAAAAAAAUUGCUUCUGCUUUUGUAGCUCAAUCACAAUUGGAGAUCAGUUUGGUAAGUAUAGAACGAGCGUUAAUUAUGAUCGGAUGAUUGUAGGAACCUGGAGAAGACGGUGCCACAGUCGCACUUGUACUCCCUGGUGCCGCAGAUCUUGGAGUGGGCCUUCCAGUCCGACUGCACCGCGUACUUCUUGCUGCACUUGUCGCACUUCCACUUCUUCUCGCCGUGCUUCCGGCAGAAGUGCUUCUUGAUCCCCGUCAGGUCCCCGAGCGCCCGCGACGCCUCGUGGUGCACGCACGUCGGCUCCGGGCACACAUACACCUUCUUGCGCGCCGCCUCUGCCGCGUCGCCGCCGCUCGCCCGCUGCCGCAGCUUCCACGGCAGGUUGUGGCCGCGCCGGUGCAGCUGCAGGUUCUGGUCCCGCUGGAACCCCUUGUGGCAGAUCUCGCACACGAACCGGUUCGUCGCCAUUAGCGUUCGCGGCGACAGCGCAAUCACCUCCGCAUUCGGAUCUGAAAUCACAAUGGGAUUUUUUUUGUUGUUGUUGUUGCAUAAUUAGACGUUUUAAAAAUUUCCACAGCAUAUGCUUGUUUGAUGCAUGAGGAGAGAGCUAAGAAAAAAAAAAGAGUAUAAGUGAAUGAUUGAUAUGUUUUGCUAAUUAAUGUGCGAUAUCUUUGGACUCAUGUAGGUUUGAACUGGACUAGAAUUUUUAUCAGAAACUGUAAUUUUCGUAGGACACAAAUUAUUUGUUUUUUCUCACAUGUUUUCUUUUGAUUUUUUUUUUUUCACUCGGUGGUAUUUACUGUGAGAGGUUUUUUAGGCUUCUGCUACUUACGCGUUUGGUAUUAAAUCAUACAGAAGCAUGCAUUAAUUAACAUGUUUUUCAUAUAGAACAGCUGUGUACGUACUUCAUUUUGAUUGAUGUUGAUCAUAUUGAAAACUACUGAGCUUUGAUUAGGUGAUCUUGUGAUGAUAUAUAUAUAUAUAUGCACAUAAGAUAAAGUGUUGUUAAUUCUAAAAUAUAUUUACGACCACAAAAAACUAUAAAUAAGCUUAUCUUAUCCUGAACUCAUGACAGGAUAGAGACAAAACAUUGCCACUGGACGGCCAAAACAAAUGAUAGUCCAUAGCACAGUUACUCUAAUUAGAAAUUGAUUUGGUUAUACAAAUUAUUUGUUUAACAUGGUAUAUUAAUUGUUGCUACUCUCUCUCCAAAUUAAAGAACUUCAUGCUUGUUACUAUAUAGCUUGUUGGGUUUUUUUUUUUUUUUUUUUUUUUUUUUGAUACCGGUCAUCGCAGUCUCUUAGGCAACUGCGCAUGGUAUACCAUCAGUAGCUUGUUGGGCUUUUUAAUGCAUUUGAAUUUGUUUAUUUUGUCACUAGGAGUGCUAACAUCAGAAGCAACUUAAUUAGAAACCAAAAGAGAGGGAGAAAUGAAAGGUACUUUUCUUGGUAGUCCUAUAUAUGGACCCAACAUGCAUGCACUUCAUGGAAUGUUCAGUAGAUUAGACAUCUAGACAGAUAAGAAGUCAUGUGAUGUUACCAAACAGCAAAAGAUCUCAUUAAAAUCUUAAAACAGGUUGAAUCUUGUCAUUGAUAUGUCAUUUGUAUCUUUCAAUUACAAGGAGCAGAUGUAGACCAGCUAACAGUUACUGCAAUAAUUGCACUGCCAAAAACCAAAAUAAUUGGCAUCACUGCACCCACAGCCAACAAAGAAAUUUAAAGUGAAAAAUAGAAACAAAAAAAUUGAAGUAAAUAAAAGCAAAAAUUAUUAGCAAAUCAAGGUAAACAAAUUAAACUAAAUUAUCUGAUUUUAGCAUCAAGCAUAUAGUAAGUAUGAAGUAAGAAAUAUAGCCACCUGGAGUGCCGGGGAGGCUCCUCUUCUUCUUGGCGGCCGGCGGUGGGGGGUUGGCCUCGGGGCCGAUCGCCGAUGACUGAUGAAGUAAUGGAUGGUGGUGAUGGCCCUCAUCCUCUCCUGUGUUCUUUCCAGAAUGGAAACUCCCACCAUCUCCUGAUAUGUUUGACAUGGUGAUCAAUAUUGGAUAACUACACCUUUCUAGUUAUCACUUCUUGAUCCUUUCAACAAUACAUCCUCUCUCUCUCUCUCUCUCUCUCUCUCUCUCUCUCUCUCUCUCUCUCUCUUUUGUUGGGGUGGUGAAGUGGAGAUAUAGUGGUGGAGAGAAAGAAGGGGGAGGAGACAGGGUGAAGGAGCUCUGUGAUUAUAUGCUAGAAGAGAAACCAUAUUAUUUGCUACUAAAAAAUGUUUUUUUUUUAAAUUUAAUAUUACAGUUCCGCUACAGUAUUUUUAAAACUACCAAACACUUGGUACUGAUAAGUUUUUCACUAUUAAAUAUAUAUUUUGACCAAUUCCACACUUUAAAUUAUAUUAUUCCAUUAAGCACCCCUACUUAACUCUAGGGGAUCACUGUUAUUAUAACUCUACAAAUCUUCAUUCAAAGAUCGAAAGUUUAGAAGCAUCAAUGACUUGAUUCGAUCUUUUAAAAGCUUAGGAGCUCAAUGCUUAAUAUUAUAUAUAUUAUCGUUCUAUAUAUAUAUAUAUUUGUUUUGUAGAUACUUUUAAUUUCUUGGAAUCAGAAGAUAAUCUCCCACAAUUAUUUUAGUAUAUAAUUUUCAAUCUCCUGAUAGCAACCUUGUUUCCAUGGGCCCUUGCUGCAUUGUUUUGUCACCAAGGGCUACACUACUAGGGGGGGAAAAAAAAAAUCAAAUGGAAAUUUAUAAGAAAAUGGUAGCCAAUAAACAAUAUUCCACCCUCUCCUAGUGCUUAUCUCUCUAGGCACAAUUUCCAUUAUUUUUAUUUGUUAGGCUGAUUGGGACAUAAUUGAGGUUCCCUGUUGCUCACCUCUACUGUACUCUAGCCUGCAUAUAUAGCUAUCACAGUGCAAUCCAUGCUCAGUGUAACUUUUUCACUAGAAUUCAAAAUUGGGUUGCCUUUUGCUUGUCUCAUAUGUUGUAGCUAGACUCCUAGCUAUAUUGGACAUUAUUGAGGCAAGGAUUUUAAAGAAAACAAGAGCAGAUAAUCUGGAACAUACACUGUUUGUCUUCUAAUAUAUGUUCAAGAGUCAAGUCCAUUUGGUUUGGUUGCACUUUUAUAGAAAUGUUCUAUGAGUACAGUUAGUUGAAGAAGCAUUCGCAGUACUAAAAUCAUAUAUAACUGAAUUUCCAUACUUAACUCGGACUAAAGUGGAGUCAUUUUCUAGUUGAUUUGGGCUUACAAUUGCUCAAUUCAAGUUGGCCUAGACAAGGUUCUCUUGACCCCUCACUGCAAGAAAAAUAACAUUUAAGGAUAUUUUUUUUUUUAGUAAUUAAUGAUGCUUAAAACUGUUCCAAAUUAGUCUACCGUCAUAUUAGAAAGCGUCGGCAAAUAAAGAGUUGCCACAUAUAUACCAAUGCUUAUUCCAUGCGUCAGUGAGAUAUAUUCCGAUGCUUUAAAGUGUCAGGAUUUUACAAAUUUGAACGCUUUAAAACUUUGAAAAAUAAAAAAUAAUAAUAUAAUUUUAUAACUUGUUCACAGGGUGAUAAGAUACAACAGUGCAGAAUCUCGUAAUUUGCACUCUAACAUCAUUAUAAAAAAAAGAUGAAGUAUUUUACUUUUUUUUUUCAAUGCAAGGCACGCUCUUACAGAAAUCUAGUUAAGGCAGAAACCAUAGCUGAGAAAGCAAAUAAAGUACUAUAUAUAUUUUAUUAUGCGGAAUGUUUGAAACUGCAAAUACGCUAAACAAAAAGAGGCUUUUCGAAGUUUUUCAAAACGAUAAAUCUAUUCGUUUGAUUGUUGAAACUUACACCUUUGAGACAGCUAGAGAACAUUUUGGGCGACUUAUCGGCUAGAAUCUUGCAUAGUAGAACAGAGGACAGAAGGUUCCACAGCUCAGCAUCGAUCGAGCAUCUCUCAGGGACAGCACCAAUCUAAAUUCCUACACAUUUUCCUGGUAGAUCCUAUAAAUUUAUAAUACAGUGUUUGUACUAUCUAGGUGUUGCAACUAAAACCUGGUAGUCUCAAAAGUCAAUUUACUUUUCUUUACAACUAAAACCUGGUAGUCUCAAAAGUCAAUUUACUUUUCUUUACAAAUCACGACGCGUAAACAUAGUAGUUAAUUUUUGGCUAAAUUACAGAAAACUCCCCUGUAAUAACCUAUUUUUUCACUUUCCCCUCCUGACAUUUAAAAACCUACACUUUGCCCCCCUGUAAAAUGAAAAAUGUUCACAGGGGGUUACAGUAUGUAAAAUGACCAUUUUGCCCCUCGCCAUUGUCGUCUUCUUCCACAUCUUCCUCAGCCGCCCCUUCGUUCGGCCGCGAUUCCCACCUCAAUCGGCCGCGAUUUCUUUCCAUUUCCUUCUCCACCUUCUCCCCUUCUGCUCCUGCACCCUCGCCGCCCUCGAUUUCGGCGACAGUAGGAGAAAACCGAGGUAGGCGACAGUAGGAGAAGGGUAAAGAAGGCGAAGGCGAGGCGGCGGAGGACGGCGAAGGGGAUGUGGGUGAGGACAAGGCAGUGGAGGACGACGAGGCGGCUAGGCGGCGAGGCGGCGAGGCGGCGGCGAGGUGGCGAGCCGGAGGGAGUCGAAGCAACAAGGAGAUGGCGGAGGAGUAUUUUCGGAAUAAAAAUAUAUUUUUUAACGGAACCCUAACGGAUAAAAAUAUAUUUUUUAACGGAACCCUAACGGUAGGGAGUGAAGUGCAUAUUUUUUAUUUUACAGUGGGGCAAAGUGUAGGUUUUUAAAUGUCAGUGAGGGAAAGUAAAAAAGCGGGUUAUUACAAGAGAGUUUUCUAUAAUUUAGCCUUAAUUUUUUAUCAACAAUAUCUUUCAGUGAUAAGUGAUCCAUUCCCGCUAGCACAAGUAACUUACAAAAAUGUGUAUGCUUAAUCUAUUUCUCCUGAUAUGGGACUAUUGAAAUGCAGUAUAUCCUUAAUAUUAAGUUCUCGAUCAGUUGUAAUCUUUCCUCCCAUGAUAGAAUUCUACAUUCAUGAAAGAGUACAACAUUUAAGAUGAAAAAUAUGGCUACAUAAUUAUGAUUUAAUCAUGUGAAUCAAGGGAGGUUGAGCACACGUUUGUCGGUGUUAUUCAAUCUUGUUUAACAAUUAUUGCCGUAUCUGAUCCCCCAUGUGUUCACAUUCUAGAGAAAAUAGAAGUAUUAGUUAUUGAGCAUUUAAGUUCUAAUUAGUUGUAACAUCUAUGCCUUACAAUCUUUUUUAUUGUCCUAGAGAAGUAGACUAGGCUCUUAUCUUGAUCAGGUCUACAAUUUUUUUUUUUUUUUUCCUUUCUCCUACUGCAUUUGUAUGGUAGAGCAGCUUUCGAUGAACCGCCGAUUAUAACCUUGAAUUCGAUGUGUUAAUAAUGGCUCCUCGAAUUCGAUGUUUAGUGUGGAUUCGUUAAGAUACUAGAUGAUUUUUUUUUUUUUUUUUUUUUUUUUUUUUUUGAGAAAAAGAUAGCACGCUACCCGCUUCAUUCAUAGAGGAAUUGAAUUAGGCUACAGUGGUGAAGCAACUAAGGCCUCGAGAGAGAGAGAGAGGAAAAAAAAAAAAUCUAAUAGCAGGGACGAGUAGCUCGAUUAGCAAGGAGGAGCGAUUCCCAGUGCUUCGUUAAACGAAUCAACUUCUGAACAGCUAAUAGGGGGUCCGAUGUGACGUUUCGAAAGAUCACCCCAUUCCUUAACUCCCAAAUGACCCACCAGCAAGCUGCAAGAACUGGUAGCUUUGUGCACGUUGGCUGUGGCCCAAAUUUGCUCGACCACCUGUCCCAGGCCGAGGUGACGUCGGUGGCAAAAUCAAUAGAGUGGACUUCCUCUACAGCCUUCAGUAUAAGGAAUUUCGUGAAAACGCAAUGUGAGAACAAGUGGUCUACGGUUUCCUCUUCGGUCCCACACAGCACACAGUAUGCAUCCCCAGUCCAUCCUCUCUUUAUCAGGUUUUCUAAUGUAGGGAUUCUUCUCUUAAGGACAAGCCAACAGAACACCUUCACUCUUUUAAUUAUUUUUCUAGAUGAAAAUAAUUAAGGAGUCAAAAUGCACAGAUUGAAAAGCUAUUGAGGCAAAGAUAUAAAUUUAGUGGGCACUACUGUAUAUUCUUAAAUGUUAAUUGAAGGUUGUAUUUGUGUAUAAUUUUUAAUCAUUUCAUUGCGGGCUUUAAGUGAAAAAAUAAAAAAAAAAUGGUAAAUCUUGUGAUUAUAUGUUGAUAUAGCAAUAUGCUACACAAAAAUAACAGGCACACAAAUGUUGAAGAACUAUUCUAUUUAUUAUAUGUAUUACUUUUGGUUUGUGCAUGUUCAAAUUAAUUUUAUUUACACUUUUAAUAUAUAGUUCCCUUAGAUUCCUCUUAAAAGUGUUGGAUAACAUAUGCUAAUUAAUUAUAAACCUGAGUCAAACUGUUCACUAUUGCAACACUAGUACCCUGCUUGUUUCAAUACGAGUUCAUGACCAAAAAUUACGAGGCGUUAUAAUUAUAAGUCAAAGGCGAAAAAUGGUCUCCUCAAUUCUAUAAUUUUUUUUGUUUGAAUCUAAAGAUUAGGCAUGAAGAGAAUUGGUAGGUGACAUGAGAAAAUCAAAGUACGAAUGGAUUAAACGAAAGAGGUUGGUCACGCAAACCAAUUUUUCAUCAAUGUGAAAGGAUAUUUGACGAGUCAUUAAUUUCUAAUAAAAAAAAUUAACGGAAAAAUUGAAAUCAUGACGAAGACACGAGGAAAGGGAAGUUUAAUUUGUUUUAAAUUUCACCGUUGCCGAGUGGAAUUUGUCAUCUUGAUGUCGAAACCGAGGAGAGAAAUUUUUUUAUUAGAUUUUCUUUAAUUAAUUGUUUUAUGUUAAUGUCGACUAUAUUUUAUUGUAGAUAUGAAUUAACAAGAUAAUUAAAUGAUUAUCUAUUGAUACAACAAACGUACAAACAAAAAUAAAAAAUAGCUAACAUGAAGUAAAAAAUUUAUAAAAAAAAAAAAUGAACAUAAAGAUUUACGUAAAAAAUUCUUUAAAGGGAAAAAAGUACUGGACAAUGGAGGAGAGAGCUUCACUAUGAAAAGGAGAGUAUAAUGUUCUAAAAAUUACAAACGUUGCGUCGUGUGUAAGGCAAAAGAGAAAAAAAAUUCUUAACAAGUUCUUAUAUCAUAUCAAAUCUGUACCACAGUUAGGGCCUGAGCCCUCCACUAUCCAUCACAGACAUCUAUUUUUUCUUCAUAAUUUAUUUUUUCAAAAAAAUCUAUCAUAAUGCGAAACUAUCGAUGAAUCGAAUUUCGAGGCACCUCUAACAUCUACUGUGGGGCAUUGUUGUUUGCUAAUUAAAUCAACUAAAACUUAUAAUAAAUCUAUGCUACAUGCAUGAGCUAUAUAGAUAAAUGAUGCUGACAUUAAUUUUAGUAAGAGUGACAUAAUAGAAUUCCUUUUCAUGUUGCAUAAUGUUUUAGGUUGAAGCUUUUGGCUGCUAUAAUGGAUGAUCAUAUUAAUGUUCUUAUUACCUUACUGUUACCUAACAUUUCGGUGCAGUUUAUCUCACAAAGAUUUAAAAAAGGUCCCUUUCAAACAGUUAUUUUCGAAGUUGCUAUCAUUGGACUUAAUCCAACUAGAUGGUCUUCAAAUUAACAUAAUGUUAAGAACUAACAAUGAACAUGACAUUGCGACUUUAUCGAUUUAUUAAUCUUCAAAAAAAAAAAAAAUGGCGCCUUCAUGCAUGUUGAUAAAUAUAAAAAAUAUAAAAACAUCAUUCUCUGGUAAAUUAAACUUUUGAAAAACAACAAUUAUUUUAUAUAAUUUAACAUGCUAUUAAAAAAAAAAUUCUGAAUUUCAAGUCUCACCAAGCUUCUAGUAUUAUUAAUUUAUUUUUUUCCCAAUUAAUCAAUUCCAUGUAUUGGAUUUAUAAAACAAAAAUUUGAAUCCAGAGAGAGCUUGAAGUGUUUGGAGAAUAAUGACUUAAUUUACUAUUUUAUUUUUUAAAAAUAUCUCUUCUAAAGUCAAUCCUAGCAUGUUGAAAACCCGUUCCAAUUAUUAAAAGGUAAAAAAGUAUUACUACAUGAAUAUAUAUAUAUAUAUAUUGCACGCAUAUAGAAAGCCAAAAAGAUUCUCACCUCUUUGGUGGAAUUUUCGGGUGAAAAAUGAAAAAUUUUGCAUGAACUCAUUGUGAGUAGAUAAAUAAUUGAUUAAACUACCAAAAGAUGCAUAAAUACUAUGAAUUCAAAGUUCCCACAUGAAAAUUCUUAAGAGGUGAACCUUAUAGAAUCAUUAGACCAAGUGUCCAAUGUAGACUAAAUUAAGCACCAACUUACAUUAGCCCUAAACAAAGGCAUUAGUCUUCUUCCUACAUGUUAGAGAGAGAAAAAACAUGGGAAAAAGAAAAAUAACUAGAAGAAUGAUUCAUCCAUUAAGAAACUCGAACCCGCACGAGAACGCGUAAAUGAGAAAAGAAUCCAUUUUGUACUACUUAUAUUUUAAAUUAAAGCACAAAAUCUUGCUUAUCACCUCUCUAUUUUGCCCAUGGAUUGCAUCGAUCCCAAGAUCUCCGCCGCGCCAUCAUCGUCAAUCCCCGGUCUGCGCGGGUAUUAUUUUAUGGAUGGUGCAGAGAAACACGGAAAGUAGGGAGACCCUACUUAAAACCUUGUUAUUAUCACAACAUAGGAUUUAGAAGGUAAGAAGUUACAGCUAAGCAAGCAACAAAGCAUCCAAUAAUUAAUACAAGCAACUAGAGUUAAACAUGAGCUGUGAUCUAGUGAACAAGCAACAUGGACUUAUGGGAAUAAAUUAAAAGUUAAAGAGGGAUCAAGGAUUUAAAUAUCAAUAGGAAUGAAUGGUUUAGUUGAGAAAGCAGAAACAACUUGUGUUAGAACAAGGGAAAUUCAAAUCAACCUACUUAAUACGGCCAAUGUAGUGUAAGUUAAAUAUCAGCAAAUGAGUAUGGUUCAUCCAUCUUAUCUCCAAAAUUACUUUCUUUUCUCAUCAUGGUUUCUUUUUCCUGUAAGCAUUACAGCACUCUAUACUUUACCCACAAGAAAAACAAACAAAAAGUUUUGGUUAUGAGGCAGUAGUCAUUAUAACGAAUCAAAUAGCCGAAAAUUGGGUUCAGAAUGAAGUUAGCUAUUUGAAUCAACACUUGCAAUUUCUUCUUCUGAUAAGGAUACCGAUAACACGAACAAACAGAUAUUUAGGCAUGACUCUUAAAUAACAAUGACAAUGUGAAGCCAACAACGACAAUGUAAUAUGCGUUGGACCCGUAAUUGGUUGCUGAUAGCAAAAUGACAAUGCAUGUCAACUUCAAAUGAGUCACACAUUUACUUCCUACCACUAUAGCAUUUACAAAUUGAGAGAUCCAUUUAAGUGCAAAAGUGAAGAUAUGAAGGCCACAAAAUUGAUACAAAUCAUUGGAUGUGUCCCUGCUGAUAAAUGAACUUUGCAGCUUUGCUGUUCAAAAGAUGUUAAAGAAUAAGAGUAGCUUGGUGUGAUUUAUGCUUGCUUAUUGUACGAGAUCGCAAACUUUGUUGUUAUAUAACUUAGGUUUAUUUAAAUUAGCACUCCUAUAUUGGCUCUGUUACAACUUAAUUACAUGAUUGAUUGCAGCCAAACAGGGAAAAAAUAAACAUGGUAGCUCUCAUUGCUGUGUUAUGACGUUCAAUUAAUAAUUUAAAUUACUCUGUGCCCAAAGAACCCAAUAGUGCCAUUGUUCAAAAACUUCCUUGGGAGUGCAAUCAAUUCAUCAUGUAAAUACCUAUAAUUGAGGUAUGGGCCAGUAUGAAUAAAACUAUUUGAAAAAGCACUAAUUUUCAUUAAAAUCCACGAACAAAUCAAAGGUUCAAAAUUAAAAUUCCAACCACUGCAAAUGCAACAGGCAAAAACGGUGUCCAAGAGGCUGAGUUGAGCAAGCUACCUGCUUCAUUCAUUAGAACUAUCAUGUACAAAUGGAAAAAAGAACUUUCAAAAGUUAAAUUCAAAAAAACCUACCUAUAUAAUCAGCCUGUUCUAAUCAACCACCUUCCCUUAUUUCCAAUCAAUUUUUCUUAAUGAUCAUCAGUCAAAUUGACUCAAUUGACCAAAACUCUUUUAGGCAUUUAAAAGAAGAGAAGUAAAUUGUGAAUAUUUUAUGGGACAAUAGUCUUCAACAGAAAAUAUAGAAAUUAGGGGGUAGGUAGUUGAUUGAAGUGCUAGAUUGUUUGGGUAGCCUUUAUCUUUUGAAAGUUUGGGUAGUCAUCCGUAAAAGCUUGACAGUUCGAAAGGGUUCUGUGCAUUUUCACUAAGAUUCAGACUUUCUCUUUAACCAUUUCUAAGUGCAGCUCCUUUGUGGGGAGAGAAAGAGAGAGCAUGCCUAUAGAGUAGGUGCUGCUGUGGCGUCAUCAGCUCCAAUUCUUGAACAAGAUAACAAUUAGAGCAAGGUUCCAAUUCUUGAAGAGGACUCGCUAAACGAGAUUGCAUGUUAUGGGUUGCUUUUCUGCCAACAAUCUACUGUGCCGCUCAAAUCUUCAAUCCUGGAAUUAAAAGUAUGAGUAUGAAGGGAACGAACAGGUGCCAAGCUUCCACGCGAAUUGCAUGCUCAGCUGGAGAAGUGGUUACUGAAGGAGCCUAUCUUAUGCGGCCUUCAUUCCUUUACCUCUCCGCUUUGUCCCGAGAAGACCACUGGCAAGAGCUUCCAAAGCUCUCCUAGUUGGUGGCCUGGUUCUGGUGCUCUGCCUUUGAGAGCUCAACAAAGAUUGGCCCCCAGAAAGCUCUUCCUUGGCUCUUUCUCCUAGGCUUGCACCUUUAUCUUUAUUUUGCUCAUCUUGGUUGUCUAAAGGCAUGCACAAGUUUUCAUUAGUCUCAUUAUCUGGCAGUACAUAAGGUAGAUUCAGAUCAAACAAAGCUCGAGCUAAAGGCUUCUUCUCCGAUUCUUCUCUCUUCUUCUCAUCUUGCGCACUUUCUUUACUGUCUUCGGGCAACCCCCUCUCAUUCUUAGUACCCUCUGUCAGCUGGUGACCUUCUGAGGAAGAAAAACUAUGGUGGGCAGCUUCUUCAUACUUCGCAGCUGCUAAUCUUCUUCGCUUUGAAACAGGAGCUAAAUAAACUUGCUGCCUAGAUUUCGCCCUUUGUUUCAACUGACACUUUAUAUCCUUUAACGAACUAGUAUCAUUCAACACAUCUAGGCAUGGAUUGCCGGGAACAUUAGCACAAAUAGGAAUCGUUUGGCUUGAAACAGCUGCAAUAUUACCGUCACCAGAGAUAUCUUGAUCGGUACCUACUUCUGAACCUGAAGAACUCACAUCUGAGCUGUACUGCUCUUCUGAGCUAUUGCUCUGUGAUUUACCAAAAUGAUUCGAAGGCUCAUACUUAAAAGUUGCAUCAACAGGAAAAUCCCGCAUUUCUCUCACCUUGAAUGGUCCUUCUCCCUGAGCCAAACUAGUAUCCACAAUAGUGAAUUUCGUUAAUCCAGAAUUGCAAAUUUGCAGUUUGGGUUGUAGAUAGCCGCAAAGAUGGUCAUCAGGAUGAACCUUUUGGUCUAAUUUGUUAUCCACUUUGUUACCUGUAACUUCUUCAACGUCUAACUCAAGAAGCCGUGGGUCAGAAGUUACUUUGCUCAAGACAUCACUAACAGAAUCAAAAUAAUGGUUCCCUCUCUUGUGUUUUUUCCUCGAGAAUUUCUUAAUACCUGGUAUGAGGAAUACUAAAGUGCUUUUCGAGCCAGCAAUGAGUUGAUCUUUUGGCUGCUCAGAAUGCCAACCCCUCGCAAGCAAGCGUGGCCAGACGGCCUCCCAGAAUAGAUCAUUUGACCUUGCCUUGCUUAUUCUGUACCCACCUGUUAAAAAUCUGAUGAUAUCUUUGGGUGUGAGCGAGGAACAAGCCUUCCCAAUAGGCAUUUCAGACGGGGUAUAGCUAGUUUGAUUAUUUCUUCUAGAUGGAUCUGAUCUGGCUUUAGUCAGGUCCGUUUUACCUUUGCCAAUUCCAAUGGCUUCUGCAAGGAGUUGCAUACCAACUGUGGAUUUUAAAGCAAAGAUAAAUUCCUCAAAAGAAGAAUUGCGCUCAUUGAAUGUCUUAAUGACCUGCCAACAUAAUAAGAUUUUAUGGAUGAAAAGAGACAUUUGUACAAUAUUUCAAUGAUGAAAAUGCAUGAAUGAUACUGUAAAAAGUCCCUAAAGAAAAAAAAAAGCCAGGAUCUUUUACUUCCAAUAUUGUAAAUAAUGGUCUGCAUAUCAUGCUUGAAUUUAGUAGAAAAGAAGCAAGAGCCAUCAAUUCAAAUAUUGAUUAGUCAUCCUCACGAUCUUUUAGGCCGUGAACAAAAUCUUGUAGAACCAGAUCUAAUAAAAAACCUUACCAGCAGUUAUAGAUUAUUGGCAGUAUCCCAGAAAAGCUUCUAUAUGAAGGAGCAAGUUCCCAAAAGGAGCUUUAUUUGUUGCCCCGUGACCUAAAGAUUAGGAUCAUAAUGUUUUUCAUAUCUUCUAUAACCAUUUUCCUUUCCUGGUCCCAUUUUCUACAGAUAUGGCUUCUUGAUGAAACCAUACCUCCAAAGAAACACAAGCAUGAUAUGAAUACAAGGUGCAAAUUGAAAUAAAAUCUUUGUCUAUCAAAUCCAUAUAGAUACAACUUCUUGAUCAAAGCAUACCUCCGACAGAAGGUGUUGUGCUUCUAUUGGUAUCGUAGGCAUCAAGCGUGACAAUAGCUCCUGUUGUCUCCAACUUGUAAAUAUACGCUGCCCAAUUAUACCUCUCCUGCUUUUUAUUUUUCUACACUGUGACCAUUUACAAUAGGCAUCGGACCCAUAAAAUUUUCCAUAAUAGUAAGAUAAUAUAUCUCCCAUCGUCUUAGAGCCCAGAAAUUUUCUCAGCUGAAUUAAAUUUUUACCGAAAAUGUAAAGUCCAAGGAGAAAACUUUGUGCCUCUGCAUCACUCCAAGUCGAAGUUGGUGAAUUAGGCAGCAGACUAUAUUCUACAUUUUGAUGGCUUGAAUUCUGAAUACACACUAUUGGAAUAGGUAAUCCUAAUCCAAAUGUGUAGUCAAAACCGAUAAUGUUGUUAUUAUCAGUUGAACUUAAUAUUAGCUGGACGGAUUCGGCUUCUGUUGCCAUAUUAGGAAUUUCCACCUGGUGCUGAUCUCCUAUGCGGGGGUAUACUCGCAGUUCAUCAGAAGAUGUCUCUGCAUUAUGCUCUUCACCUUUUUCUUGUUCAGGAGGAUCCAUCUGACAAAAAAAUAGAAAGUAAUGACUAGCGACAACCAUAAGAGUAUUCACAUUAAGUGAUCCUCAACCACUUCUCCGUAAGAGGUUAAAGAUAAAUUAGAUAAAGCUAACAAAUAGUGAUCACAUAAUUCAACUUCAAAGAGAGGAGAAUGCUAGAAAACCAUGCGAAACAAUGUUACAUGAAUAGUGGAAUUAGAACUAACAAACAAACCGCUAGCCAAAUGAAUGCAUGCCAAAAAGAGAACUUGUUUUACCUCCGUAGGGAACUAAUCAAUAAAACUACUCACCGACCAGCCAUUAUCCACUGACUCCUCUAGAUAAAAGGAAAAUUCUAUCGAUCACAUAUAUCUAAAACAAUGUUAAAGAAUCUAAAUACUUGUUAAAGCUAUGGACAAUACUAUCAGCUCUGCAGCCUAAAAUAUCUAAACUGAGGAAAUACAUGACAGGAUCAUCUGAUACAACCAUAUAUCAAAUGAAAACAAUUCUUGACCAUGAUCCCCCCACUUUGACCUACACAAUUGUAAUCAUCAAUGCCUUUAACAACAUAUUAAGCUAAACUUCCAAUCUGAUAACUUUUUAUUCAAAAGAAAAGCACUCACGGGUCAGAGAUGGGCCAUCAAUACACGCAAAUAAAGCUAAUAAGAGGGAACCCGUCAGGUAUAAUCAAGAAUAGGCAAAUGAGUAUUGAUCAUUACAUGGAGAUUUGCAUAGAUUAAUAACUGUUCAGCAAAACAAACAGAACCAUGCCAAACCCAUUAAUUGGAACCACCAUAACAAAUUAAUACAUACUCAUAGAUAAUCGCCAUUUCGACCACUUAGAUAUAUAGAUAAACUAGAUUAAAAGAACCAAUGCUAUGAACAAAAACGUACUCCUACAACACAAACAAGCUGAAGUGAGGAAUUUACAUGCCAAAAUCACCUCAAGCAAUCACAUUUCAAAUCAAGAACAAUUCUUGACCAUGAUCUCCGCUGUGAGCCGCACAAAUUUAUCAUCAAAGCCAUCAACGAAGGAUAAAGCAGCAAUUUUUAACCUGGUAACUUCUUACUCAAAAGAAAAAGCAUCCAAAUUUCUCACGGAUCAGAGAUUGAGCAAAUGGGUAUUGAUCAUUACACCGAGACACGCAUCGAUUAAUAAGUUCCCAAGCAAAACAAACACAACUAAGCCAAACCCAUUAAUUGGAACUACCAAGAAGAGAUAUAAACAGGAGAACGAGACCAAACACAUGCUCGUAGAUAUCGCCGUGCUCUACCUACAUGUAGAAACAUAUAAAAGGAAGAGAGAGACAGAGAGAGAGAAAAGAGAGAUGGAGAUGGGUUCGUAGCUUCACUUACAUAUGGAGAGAGAGAGAGAGGGAGAGAGCUAACGCAAUCUCAUAUAACACGAAGAAUCGAAUGGGAGGAGAAUGGGGAGCGAACCAAAGAGGAGUCGUGAGAAAGAGAGAGAGAGAGAGAGAGAGAGAGGCGAAGAAAAAAAUAAAAAGCGAAAAGAUUAAGGUUUAUAAAUGUGUGGAGACCCCUCAAUUAUAGCCAAUUUUGGACAAAGUCCUCCAAUUUUUUUUUUUUUUUUACUAAUACCCUUUAACCUUUAAUUAUAUUAAUUUAAGUCUCUUAGGUUGAAUUAAAACUCUGUCAUAAUUAACUAAUCUAAAAUGUAUCAGCCAUUAACAUUUAACAAAAUCAACCGUUACAUCAGCCAAAAAAAUGUGCACAAAGAUGAAUCAAUAGCAUUAUUGUUGAAUUACAUAAAAUUCCUAGUUUAAUUAAUUAAAAUAACAUCAAUUAAAAAAAAUCAGAAGUUGAGAAAUUAAUUUUUAAUGGUAGAGGGACCGAUUUUAAAAUUGCUUGUAAGUGAGGGAUCCUCUCGUACAUUUUUACCGAAGGAACGCAAUAUGGAAAGAAAGAUUGGGAGAGAGAGAGAGAGAGAGAGGAGAAAGAUUGUUGGAUUAAGGAGUAAUUACGUGGUUAAGCACACAAUUAAUGCGUCCGCAUCAAUUUAAUCCCAUGGGAAUUGCAUCUGCACCGUCCAAUAACGAUCGAACGGCAGAUGAAUGAGUCGCAUAGUUUUUAAUCACUCC
rnacentral:lncRNA from 1 species